rnacentral:misc_RNA from 1 species
UCUCCGUAGGUGAACCUGCGGAAGGAUCAUUGUCGAAACCUGCCCAGCAGAACGACCCGCGAACUUGUAUAAACAACCGGGGGCGGGGGGCGUUCUCGCCCCGUGCCCCCGAACGGCGGGGAGACACUCGUGCCUUCCUGCCGAACAACGAACCCCGGCGCGGUCUGCGCCAAGGAACUUCAACUAAAGAGUGCCUCCGGUCGCCUCGGAAACGGCGUGCGUGCCGGGGGCGAAUCUUGUGCAAAACCAUAACGACUCUCGGCAACGGAUAUCUCGGCUCUC